GAUGAACGCUAGCUACAGGCUUAACACAUGCAAGUCGAGGGGCAGCAUCAUCAAAGCUUGCUUUGAUGGAUGGCGACCGGCGCACGGGUGAGUAACACGUAUCCAACCUGCCGACAACACUGGGAUAGCCUUUCGAAAGAAAGAUUAAUACCGGAUGGCAUAGUUUUCCCGCAUGGGAUAAUUAUUAAAGAAUUUCGGUUGUCGAUGGGGAUGCGUUCCAUUAGGCAGUUGGCGGGGUAACGGCCCACCAAACCAACGAUGGAUAGGGGUUCUGAGAGGAAGGUCCCCCACAUUGGAACUGAGACACGGUCCAAACUCCUACGGGAGGCAGCAGUGAGGAAUAUUGGUCAAUGGACGAGAGUCUGAACCAGCCAAGUAGCGUGAAGGAUGACUGCCCUAUGGGUUGUAAACUUCUUUUAUACGGGAAUAAAGUGAGCCACGUGUGGCUUUUUGUAUGUACCGUAUGAAUAAGGAUCGGCUAACUCCGUGCCAGCAGCCGCGGUAAUACGGAGGAUCCGAGCGUUAUCCGGAUUUAUUGGGUUUAAAGGGAGCGUAGGCGGGUUGUUAAGUCAGUUGUGAAAGUUUGCGGCUCAACCGUAAAAUUGCAGUUGAUACUGGCGACCUUGAGUGCAACAGAGGUAGGCGGAAUUCGUGGUGUAGCGGUGAAAUGCUUAGAUAUCACGAAGAAGUCCGAUUGCGAAGGCAGCUUACUGGAUUGUAACUGACGCUGAUGCUCGAAAGUGUGGGUAUCAAACAGGAUUAGAUACCCUGGUAGUCCACACAGUAAACGAUGAAUACUCGCUGUUGGCGAUAUACAGUCAGCGGCCAAGCGAAAGCAUUAAGUAUUCCACCUGGGGAGUACGCCGGCAACGGUGAAACUCAAAGGAAUUGACGGGGGCCCGCACAAGCGGAGGAACAUGUGGUUUAAUUCGAUGAUACGCGAGGAACCUUACCCGGGCUUAAAUUGCAACUGACUGAACCGGAAACGGUUCUUUCUUCGGACAGUUGUGAAGGUGCUGCAUGGUUGUCGUCAGCUCGUGCCGUGAGGUGUCGGCUUAAGUGCCAUAACGAGCGCAACCCUUACGGGUAGUUACCAUCAGGUUAUGCUGGGGACUCUACCCGGACUGCCGUCGUAAGAUGUGAGGAAGGUGGGGAUGACGUCAAAUCAGCACGGCCCUUACGUCCGGGGCUACACACGUGUUACAAUGGGGGGUACAGAAGGCAGCUACACGGCGACGUGGUGCUAAUCCCGAAAGCCUCUCUCAGUUCGGAUUGGAGUCUGCAACCCGACUCCAUGAAGCUGGAUUCGCUAGUAAUCGCGCAUCAGCCACGGCGCGGUGAAUACGUUCCCGGGCCU
rnacentral:rRNA from 1 species